UGACACUUCUGUACAUUGACCAGCGAGAGCGUCUCAAAGGAGGAACACGAUGGAAGUUUACAGUGCUUCGACGUGAAAAGAGUUUAUUGCUAAUGUCCACAGAUCAAACACACGCCGGCACUUCACGAUCCAUCCGAGCGUCGGCGACGGCUGCCUCGACGUCGGUGCCGGUGUUGAGGAUUCUCAUGGCGUUGACGGAGGCCGAGAUCCGAGCCUGAUGGGACAGACGGUCUGCAGAAGGAAAAGGGAAACAUGGAUCAGCAGGUGGAGAGGACGGCGGUACCAUGAGUAACACGGGACACCAUCAAAUGUGCAGAAGUAGCAGGCAUUAAAAUGGAUUAAAUAAGAAUGAUGCUAAAGAGGAACACGA